rnacentral:rRNA from 1 species
UACGUAGGGUGCAAGCGUUGUCCGGAAUUAUUGGGCGUAAAGAGCUCGUAGGCGGUUUGUCGCGUCGAAUGUGAAAACCCGGGGCUCAACCCCGGGCCUGCAUUCGAUACGGGCAGACUAGAGUUCGGUAGGGGAGUCUGGAAUUCCUGGUGUAGCGGUGAAAUGCGCAGAUAUCAGGAGGAACACCGGUGGCGAAGGCGGUUCUCUGGGCCGUACCUGACACUGAGGAGCGAAAGCGUGGGGAGCGAACAGG